rnacentral:tRNA from 1 species
UGGCACAGUGAUUAAGCACUUAGUUUCUAACUAAGAGGUCGGUGGUUCAAACCCACC